rnacentral:rRNA from 1 species
UGGGGAAUAUUGGACAAUGGGCGAAAGCCUGAUCCAGCCAUGCCGCGUGUGUGAAGAAGGUCUUCGGAUUGUAAAGCACUUUAAGUUGGGAGGAAGGGCAGUAAAUUAAUACUUUGCUGUUUUGACGUUACCGACAGAAUAAGCACCGGCUAACUCUGUGCC